GUGACCUGGGGAGGUGGCAGCGAUGACACAGGGGUGACACGGGUGAGGGGACACAGGUGACAUUUGGGAGGGGACACAGGUGACACCAGGGACAGGUGCCACCGCUGGGGGAUCACAGGUGACACAGGCAACACUAGGGACAGGUGACACAGGUGACAGAGGUGGCACAGGUGAGGGCUGGCACGGUGCCAGGUGCCGGUGACACGGGGCAGGGUGACACAAUGACCCAGUGCCAGGUGCCACGCAGGUGCCAGGUGCAGGUGACACAGGUGACACCAGGGACAGGUGACACAGGUGACACCAGGGACAGGUGACACAGGUGACAGUGAGGUUCCAGGUACA